rnacentral:lncRNA from 1 species
GGGCGGCUCGGAAAAGUUUGCCUCGGCAGCCCGGGGGUCUCCCUGCCCCAGCCCCCGGGGCGGCGGGUCGGAUCUCACCUCGAGGCGAGGCGCGGCGGAGGGGGCGGAAAGCCCCGGGAUUUACUCAGCUCGGAUUUGCCUGGCGCACCAUGUCUCCCCGGCUCGGCGCUGCCGCCGGGCUGCUGCUGCUGCUGCUCCUGCUGCUCCUGUCACUCGCGGCCGGGGCCGACGGCAAGGCUCGCAGCUGCGCCGAGGUGAGGCAGGCGUACGGGGCCAAGGGCUUCAGCCUCGGCAACAUCCCCUACCAGGAGAUCGCAGAAAAAGAAGUGGCGUGUGGCAUGUAUUGAUGAUGUUCUUUGGCGAUUUUGGGGAUCAGUAUACCUGGCCAAUGACUAAAAUUCUACCAGCUUGAAGAAGAACAAUGAUCUCAUGCCUCCAGGUCCUAUCUUUUGCUAUUUUCUGUGCUACUAUUAAUGCAAAACUACCCUUCCAUUCUCAAGUUUUCCUCUUCAGUUUAAACUGUAUUGAAAAAAUACCUGGAAUUUGCAUUAGUGUAGCAUUUCAAUACUGAUGCAUUUGGUGCUUUCUGACUCUUAUUAACUAACUCUGACCUAUGAAAUACAAAGCAAACAAACUUUGCUUUUAAAUGAAAAAUAAAUUAAAGCUGCAGUUCUUAUCUAAGCA